rnacentral:rRNA from 1 species
AAUCCUCCACAAUGGACGGAAGUCUGAUGGAGCAACGCCGCGUGAGCGAAGAAGGUUUUCGGAUCGUAAAGCCCUGUUGUAAGGGAAGAACACGUACGGGAGUAACUGCACGUACCUCUACGGUACCCUAUUAGAAAGCUACGGCUAUCUACGUCCCAGCAGCCGCGGUAAUACGUAGGUGGCAAGCGUUGUCCGGAAUUAUUGGGCGUAAAGCGCGCGCAGGCGGUCCUUUAAGUCUGAUGUGAAAGCCCACGGCUCAACCGUGGAGGGUCAUUGGAAACUGGAGGACUUGAGUACAGAAAGGGAAAGCGGAAUUCCACGUGUAGCGGUGAAAUGCGUAGAGAUGUGGAGGAACACCAGUGGCGAAGGCGGCUUUCUGGUCUGUAACUGACGCUGAGGCGCGAAAGCGUGGGGAGCAAA